rnacentral:misc_RNA from 1 species
GGAAGGAUCAUUAAUGCUUUAGCGGGUGUGUUGCGGCCCUCGAGGCCCCGUGCAUUCGCUGCACGGGAACAAGCUCCGGGAGGUGUAGGGUUCCCACGUGGGGGCCCUUUCACGCGCACAUGACUGAAUCCUUACUUUACUCGUACCUCUCGUUCUCCUUCGGCGGGGCAGCCUGCCGUUGGAACAGCCAAAACUCUUUUUUUUUUUUGCAUCCAGCAUUACCUGUUCUGAUACAAACAAUCGUUACAACUUUCAACAAUGGAUCUCUUGGCUCUGGCAUCGAUGAAGAACGCAGCGAAAUGCGAUAAGUAGUGUGAAUUGCAGAAUUCAGUGAAUCAUCGAAUCUUUGAACGCACAUUGCGCCCCUUGGUAUUCCAUGGGGCAUGCCUGUUCGAGCGUCAUCUACACCCUCAAGCUCUGCUUGGUGUUGGGCGUCUUUGUCCCGCCUCCGCGCGCGGACUCGCCCCAAAUUCAUUGGCAGCGGUCCUUGCCUCCUCUCGCGCAGCACAUUGCGCUUCUCGAGGUGUUGCGGCCCGCGUCCAGAAAGCAAUCGUUACCGUCUUUGACCUCGGAUCAGGUAGGGAUACCCGCUGAACUUAAGCAUAUCAAUAAGCGGAGGAAAAGAAAGCAACAGCGAUAGCCUCAGUAACGGCGAGUGAAGCGGCUACAGCUCAAAUUUGAAAUCUGGCCCUCUUUGGGGGUCCGAGUUGUAAUUUGCAGAGGAUGCUUUGGCAUCGGCGGCGGUCUAAGUUCCUUGGAACAGGACAUCACAGAGGGUGAGAAUCCCGUACGUGGGCGCCUGCCUUUGCCGUGUAAAGCUCCUUCGACGAGUCGAGUUGUUUGGGAAUGCAGCUCUAAAUGGGAGGUAAAUUUCUCCUAAAGCUAAAUACCGGCCAGAGACCGAUAGCGCACAAGUAGAGUGAUCGAAAGAUGAAAAGUACUUUGGAAAGAGAGUCAAAUAGCACGUGAAAUUGUUGAAAGGGAAGCGCUUGCAGCCAGACUUGCCCGCAGUUGCUCACCCAGGCUCUUGCCUGGGGCACUCUUCUGCGGGCAGGCCAGCAUCAGUUUGGGCGGUCGGACAAAGGCCUCUGUCACGUACCACCCCUCGGGGUGGCCUUAUAGGGGAGGCGUAAUGCGACCAGCCCGGACUGAGGUCCGCGCAUCUGCUAGGAUGCUGGCGUAAUGGCUGUAAGCGGCCCGUCUUGAAACACGGACCAAGGAGUCUAACAUCUAUGCGAGUGUUUGGGUGUCAAGCCCGGGCGCGCAAUGAAAGUGAACGGAGGUGGGAACCCUUCGGGGUGCACCAUCGACCGAUCCUGAUGUCUUCGGAUGGAUUUGAGUAAGAGCAUAGCUGUUGGGACCCGAAAGAUGGUGAACUAUGCUUGAAUAGGGUGAAGCCAGAGGAAACUCUGGUGGAGGCUCGCAGCGGUUCUGACGUGCAAAUCGAUCGUCAAAUUUGGGCAUAGGGGCGAAAGACUAAUCGAACCAUCUAGUAGCUGGUUCCUGC